GUAGCUUUUCCUUGGCACCCUUUAUCAUUGUGGUGGCUGUGUGCACUUUAUUAGCCAUGGUUGCUACUCUUCCAGUUGCACAACUUUUCUUCUUCCAUAUUCUUUUAAUAAAAAAGGGAAUCAGCACCUAUGAUUACAUUAUUGCUUUGAGGAAGCAAGAUCAGGAGCAGGAGCAACUUGCUGUUGGUGGGCAGCAAAGUCCGCAAAUGUCCCAAGUGAGCUCUUUUACUGGACUAAGCAGCACCAGUUCUUUCAAUCAAUUCCAUCGCGGUGCAUGGUGUACUCCG